GAGGCUUUAGCUUAAUUAAAGUGUUUGAGUUGCAUUCAGGUGAUGUGUAUUAAAGUUGCACAAGUCUUC
rnacentral:tRNA from 1 species